ACCAGACUCCUACGGGAGGCAGCAGUGGGGAAUAUUGGACAAUGGGGGGAACCCUGAUCCAGCGACGCCGCGUGAGUGAAGAAGUAUUUCGGUAUGUAAAGCUCUAUCAGCAAGGAAGAAAGAAAUGACGGUACCUGACUAAGAAGCCCCGGCUAACUACGUGCCAGCGGCCGCGGUAAUACGUAGGGGGCAAGCGUUAUCCGGAUUUACUGGGUGUAAAGGGAGCGCAGACGGCAGCGCAAGCCAGGAGUGAAAGCCCGGGGCCCAACCCCGGGACUGCUCUUGGAACUGCGCGGCUGGAGUGCAGGAGGGGCAGGCGGAAUUCCUGGUGUAGCGGUGAAAUGCGUAGAUAUCAGGAGGAACACCGGUGGCGAAGGCGGCCUGCUGGACUGCGACUGACGUUGAGGCCCGAAAGCGUGGGGAGCAAACAGGAUUAGAUACCCGCGUAA
rnacentral:rRNA from 1 species